UGUGAAUUGCAGGACACAUGAACACCGAUACGUUGAACGCAUAUUGCACAUCGCACGACACAGUGCGAUGUACACAUUUUUGAGUGCCCAUCCU
rnacentral:rRNA from 1 species